rnacentral:rRNA from 1 species
UACAGAGGUCUCAAGCGUUGUUCGGAUUCAUUGGGCGUAAAGGGUGUGUAGGUGGCGCCGUAAGUCGGGUGUGAAAUUUCGGAGCUUAACUCCGAAACUGCAUUCGAUACUGCGGUGCUUGAGGACUGGAGAGGAGACUGGAAUUCAUGGUGUAGCAGUGAAAUGCGUAGAGAUCAUGAGGAAGACCAGUGGCGAAGGCGGGUCUCUGGGCAACUCCUGACGCUGAGGCGCGAAAGCGUGGGGAGCAAACGGG